UGGGGAAUUUUGGACAAUGGGCGAAAGCCUGAUCCAGCAAUGCCGCGUGUGUGAAGAAGGCCUUCGGGUUGUAAAGCACUUUUGUCCGGAAAGAAAUCCUCUGGGUUAAUACCUCGGGGGGAUGACGGUACCGGAAGAAUAAGCACCGGCUAACUACGUGCCAGCAGCCGCGGUAAUACGUAGGGUGCAAGCGUUAAUCGGAAUUACUGGGCGUAAAGCGUGCGCAGGCGGUUUUGUAAGACGGAUGUGAAAUCCCCGGGCUUAACCUGGGAACUGCAUUCGUGACUGCAAGGCUAGAGUAUGGCAGAGGGGGGUAGAAUUCCACGUGUAGCAGUGAAAUGCGUAGAGAUGUGGAGGAAUACCGAUGGCGAAGGCAGCCCCCUGGGCCAAUACUGACGCUCAUGCACGAAAGCGUGGGGAGCAAACAGGAUUAGAUACCCUGGUAGUCCACGCCCUAAACGAUGUCAACUAGUUGUUGGGGAUUCAUUUCCUUAGUAACGUAGCUAACGCGUGAAGUUGACCGCCUGGGGAGUACGGUCGCAAGAUUAAAACUCAAAGGAAUUGACGGGGUCAUAGCUGUUUCC
rnacentral:rRNA from 1 species